rnacentral:rRNA from 2 species
AUACAUGCAAGUCGAGCGAACAGAAGGGAGCUUGCUCCCGGAUGUUAGCGGCGGACGGGUGAGUAACACGUGGGUAACCUGCCUGUAAGACUGGGAUAACUCCGGGAAACCGGAGCUAAUACCGGAUAGUUCCUUGAACCGCAUGGUUCAAGGAUGAAAGACGGUUUCGGCUGUCACUUACAGAUGGACCCGCGGCGCAUUAGCUAGUUGGUGGGGUAAUGGCUCACCAAGGCGACGAUGCGUAGCCGACCUGAGAGGGUGAUCGGCCACACUGGGACUGAGACACGGCCCAGACUCCUACGGGAGGCAGCAGUAGGGAAUCUUCCGCAAUGGACGAAAGUCUGACGGAGCAACGCCGCGUGAGUGAUGAAGGUUUUCGGAUCGUAAAGCUCUGUUGUUAGGGAAGAACAAGUGCGAGAGUAACUGCUCGCACCUUGACGGUACCUAACCAGAAAGCCACGGCUAACUACGUGCCAGCAGCCGCGGUAAUACGUAGGUGGCAAGCGUUGUCCGGAAUUAUUGGGCGUAAAGGGCUCGCAGGCGGUUUCUUAAGUCUGAUGUGAAAGCCCCCGGCUCAACCGGGGAGGGUCAUUGGAAACUGGGAAACUUGAGUGCAGAAGAGGAGAGUGGAAUUCCACGUGUAGCGGU